rnacentral:rRNA from 1 species
GACGAACGCUGGCGGCGUGCUUAACACAUGCAAGUCGAACGGAAAGGCCCUGCUUUUGCUGUGUUCUCGAGUGGCGAGGGGGUGAGUAACACGUGAGUAACCUGCCCUUGACUUUGGGAUAACUUCAGGAGACUCGGGCUCAUACCGGAUAUGAUCUCCUGCUGCGUGGUGUUGGUUGGAAAGUUUCGGCGGUUGGGGAUGGACUCGCGGCUUAUCAGCUUGUUUGUCGAGUAGUGGCUUACCAAGGCUUCGACGGGUAGCCGGCAUGAGAGGGUGAACGGGGACAUUGGGACUGAGAGAGGGAGCAGACUGCUACGGGAGGCAGCAGUGGGGAACAUUGCACAAUGGGGGGAAGCGUGAUGCAGAAAUGCCGCGUGCGGGAUGACGGCCUUCGGGGGGUAAACAGCUUUCGCCUGAGACGAAGCGUGAGUGACGGUAAUGGGUAAAGAAGCACCGGCUAACUACGUG